GAUGAAGAACGCAGCGAAAUGCGAUAAGUAGUGUGAAUUGCAGAAUUCAGUGAAUCAUCGAAUCUUUGAACGCACAUUGCGCCCCUUGGUAUUCCAUGGGGCAUGCCUGUUCGAGCGUCAUUUGUACCUUCAAGCUUUGCUUGGUGUUGGGUGUUUGUCUCGCCUUUGCGUGUAGACUCGCCUUAAAAUAAUUGGCAGCCGGCGUAUUGAUUUCGGAGCGCAGUACAUCUCGCGCUUUGCACUCAUAACGACAGCGUCCAAAAGUACAUUUUACACUCUUGACCUCGGAUCAGGUAGGGAUACCCGCUGAGCUUAAGCAUAUCAAUAAGCGGAGGA
rnacentral:misc_RNA from 1 species